rnacentral:tRNA from 1 species
CACUAAGUGACCGAACAAGGUGUAAGUCUUUUAAACUUACUAUAGACUACACUCUUAGUGAA